AUUCAAGUUGAUUGCGCAGUAGGGAUUCUGAGUUCAAAUUCUAUCAGCCUUCUAAUUUUAUUUAAUUUUUUUGCUUAAUUUAAGUUCACGUGUUUAAAUAUGAGAUGUAGAUCUGACAAACGGAUGAGUUGGACAUCGCUGGCAGAUCAUUGUAUUUGCAGAUUAUGCGGACAUAAAAAAAAUUUAUCUAUAAAUUUUUAGAUAGUCGGUGGAUUUAUGGGUCACUCACAACAUAAUCAUUUUUUUAUUUUAUUUUUAUAUUUUUUCAAACAAAAAUAACAUAUAUAUUAUUUUUAAAACAUUAAAAUUUAAUUUUUUUGUUUAAAACAUGACAGCAUAUAACGGAUGCUAAAGAAAAAAAUAGUAUCACGAGAAUUUAGUGUUAAGGUUCUAUAAACGGAUAAAAUAAACAGAGUAUUCACUGUUUCAUCUUUAAUUUUUUAAAAGAAUUAUAUAUGUGGGUACUCGUGGAUACCCGCAUGUUGUUUAAAAUAUCUAUAAUUUAACGGAUAUCCGUCAAUUUUACUCAUAAUUUUUUGAGUUGAAAAAAUUAGUAUUCAUGUCCAUAAAUUUACAAAUAAUUUGUAGAUAUCCG
rnacentral:lncRNA from 1 species